UGGAAUUUCAUUUCUUCCACUAAAGCGUUUGCGGAGACUUCAAGAAAAGAAAAAGAAAAAAAUGUCAUUAGAAGAGGCGUAACACGUCAGUCCGUCCCCAGGUUUGUGUUUCCUGGAGUGGCCGAAAGAGAUCAGUUCUAACCUGCUCCGCAGGAAUAACGGUCCUGCCUCCCGACACUCUUGGCGAGGUUUUGUACAGUUUGCUCCGGGAGCUGUUUCUUCGCUUCCACCUUUUUCUCCCCCACACUUCGCGGCUUCUUCAUGCUUUUUCUUCUCACCAUUUCUGGCCAAAACUACAAACAAGACUUCGCAGGUAGGUUUUUUUCCCCUUUUCUCUCUUUUUAUUCCUUUUUGGUAUGGUCAGCCCCCACCCUCCUUUUAUGAUUUUUCUCCUUUUAAGUGGGGAUGUGAGUCUGAAGUGAGAAGGAGUGUCUGUGGGCAGGAAUUUCAGGUGGGUUUAGCUCCUUUAUGGCAAGCUUUUCCCAAGAGUGACUUCUUCGAUUUCUCUGGCACUCCCGUUCUCUCUCCUUCCUUUUCUCUUCUUUUUCCUCCCCCAAAUAAUUUGCCCUGUACCUGUCCAUUCAGGUAACCAAAGGUGCCUUUUGCUACCCACCCUAGGAAAAGUUUUAUUGAGAACUACAUGGUGGAAUGAAAACUCUUCAAGGGGAGAGAUUCUGCUCUAUUUUUGCAUCUAGUCCCAAUUCAUUGUAUUCAGCAAUUAGAACUUGGCAAAUACCUGUUAAUAAUUACAAAACUUGAUUGAUAAAAACCUACCAAAUUCAGGGGCAAGUCUUUCUCUUAGAUAUGGCAGUGCAUCCUCUCCCACCGGAGAAGGCUGUUUUCUAAGCAGAAAGUUGCCUGUUUUUGUCUGCUUAGCGAGUUUCAUUUCUUUAUUUUAUUCUUUGUGUGUGUAUGUAUGUGAAGUAACACCUCACUUCUGUGAUGAUAAAUAAAGAAGUGAAAGUCCUCAUG